rnacentral:rRNA from 1 species
UACGGGGGGAGCAAGCGUUGUUCGGAUUCACUGGGCGUAAAGGGUGCGUAGGUGGCAUGGCCAGUUUGAUGUGAAAGCUCAGGGCUUAACCCUGAAAUGGCAUUGAAUACUGCUGUGCUGGAGGUUUGGAGGGGGGACUGGAAUUCUUGGUGUAGCAGUGAAAUGCGUAGAUAUCAAGAGGAACACCAGUGGCGAAGGCGAGUCCCUGGACAACACCUGACACUGAGGCACGAAAGCUAGGGGAGCAAACAGG